rnacentral:rRNA from 1 species
UACGUAGGGUGCAAGCGUUGUCCGGAAUUAUUGGGCGUAAAGAGCUCGUAGGCGGUUCGUCACGUCGGCUGUGAAAACCUGAGGCUCAACCUCAGGCCUGCAGUCGAUACGGGCGGACUUGAGUACUGCAGGGAGACUGGAAUUCUGGUGAUAGCGGUGAAAUGCGCAGAUAUCAGGAGGAACACCGGUGGCGAAGCGGGUCUCU